AUUUUAACUUAGACAAAAAUUUCAGCUUUUAGGUUUUUCUCUCUUGUUCUCUCUUGGCUAUGAAGUAACCCUAUAUUCCCACAAGGGUUCUUAGAAUUGACCUUCCUCCCAAUAUAAAGUGAUUAUGCUAUUGAAGAUAUACACAUUAAGAGGCUAAACUAACAAGGAAAUCAAGAUAAGUAAUAUAAAAGGCGGGAAGUCAAGCCGGGUUAGUUUCGGAGCUAUACAAGCAGGUAUGUAAGGCAUACUCCAUUUUGUACUCUUU